GACGAACGCUGGCGGCGUGCUUAACACAUGCAAGUCGAACGGAAAGACCCUGCUUUUGUGGGGUGCUCGAGUGGCGAACGGGUGAGUAACACGUGAGUAACCUGCCCUUGACUUUGGGAUAACUUCAGGAAACUGGGGCUAAUACCGGAUAGGAGCUCCUGCUGCAUGGUGGGGGUUGGAAAGUUUCGGCGGUUGGGGAUGGACUCGCGGCUUAUCAGCUUGUUGGUGGGGUAGUGGCUUACCAAGGCUUUGACGGGUAGCCGGCCUGAGAGGGUGACCGGCCACAUUGGGACUGAGAUACGGCACAGACUCCUACGGGAGGCAGCAGUGGGGAAUAUUGCACAAUGGGCGGAAGCCUGAUGCAGCAACGCCGCGUGCGGGAUGACGGCCUUCGGGUUGUAAACCGCUUUCGCCUGUGACGAAGCGUGAGUGACGGUAAUGGGUAAAGAAGCACCGGCUAACUACGUG
rnacentral:rRNA from 1 species